rnacentral:rRNA from 1 species
UAAGUAGGUAGUGAAAGCGUUCGGCUCAACCGGAUAAACAUUACUUAAACUGCAAAGCUAGAGGACAAGAGAGGUCACUGGAAUUCCCUGUGUAGGAGUGAAAUCCGUAGAUAUAGGGAGGAACACCGAUGGCGUAGGCAGGUGACUGGCUUGUUCCUGACACUAAGGCACGAAAGCGUGGGUAGCAAACGGGAUUAGAUACCCCGGUAGUCCACGCCGUAAACGAUGGAUGCUA